GUGCCAGCAGCCGCGGUAAGACGUACCACCCAAACGUUAUUCGGAAUCACUGGGCUUACAGAGUCCGUAGGCGGCUCGGAAAGUUGGGCGUGAAAUACCUCAGCUCAACUGAGGAAUAGCGCUCAAAACUACCGAGCUGGAGAGAGACAGAGGUGAGCGGAACUGAUGGUGGAGCGGUGAAAUGCGUUGAUAUCAUCAGGAACACCGGUGGCGAAGGCGGCUCACUGGGUCUUUUCUGACGCUGAGGGACGAAAGCUAGGGUAGCGAACGGGAUUAGAAACCCUUGUAGUCC
rnacentral:rRNA from 1 species